rnacentral:rRNA from 1 species
CCUACGGGAGGCAGCAGUGAGGAAUAUUGGUCAAUGGACGAGAGUCUGAACCAGCCAAGUAGCGUGAAGGAUGACUGCCCUAUGGGUUGUAAACUUCUUUUAUAUGGGAAUAAAAUGUUCCACGUGUGGGAUUUUGUAUGUACCAUAUGAAUAAGGAUCGGCUAACUCCGUGCCAGCAGCCGCGGUAAUACGGAGGAUCCGAGCGUUAUCCGGAUUUAUUGGGUUUAAAGGGAGCGUAGGUGGAUUGUUAAGUCAGUUGUGAAAGUUUGCGGCUCAACCGUAAAAUUGCAGUUGAAACUGGCAGUCUUGAGUACAGUAGAGGUGGGUGGAAUUCGUGGUGUAGCGGUGAAAUGCUUAGAUAUCACGAAGAACUCCGAUUGCGAAGGCAGUUCACUGGACUGCAACUGACACUGAGGCUCGAAAGUGUGGGUAUCAAACAGGAUUAGAUACCCGUGUAG